AUACGUAGGGGGCGAGCGUUGUCCGGAAUGACUGGGCGUAAAGGGCGCGUAGGCGGUUCGGUAAGUUAGGAGUGAAAGUCCAGCUUUCAGGGGUGGAAUAGCUUUUAAUACUGUCGGGCUAGAGUGCAGAAGAGGUAAGCGGAAUUCCCAGUGUAGCGGUGAAAUGCGUAGAGAUUGGGAAGAACACCAGUGGCGAAGGCGGCUUACUGGGCUGUAACUGACGCUGAGGCGCGAAAGCGUGGGGAGCGAACAGGAUUAGAUACCCUGGUAGUCCACGCUGUAAACGAUGAAUGCUAGGUGUAGGGGGUAUCGACCCCUCCUGUGCCGGAGUAAACGCAAUAAGCAUUCCGCCUGGGGAGUACGGCCGCAAGGUUGAAGCUCAAAGGAAUUGACGGGG
rnacentral:rRNA from 1 species